AUGGCAUCAGAAGAUAUGAAGAAGACCGCACUCACCCCUUCAUAUAACAGCUGCUCUCCAGACAUGAAUGACACCAGAUCUACAAUGAAGAACAAUCACAUUGUCUGUAUUAUACUGGUUCUCUGCUCAGGACAAGUUAUUGGGGAUUCCAUUAAGUCAAUGAAUUCCCAGAUGUUUGCUGAAGAAGGAAAUAAAGUCUCUCUCUCCUGCUCCUAUGAAGCUUCAGCAAGCUACAGCUAUUAUCUCUACUGGUAUCGUCUCUAUCCUGGAUCGGCUCCACAGUUCAUAUUAUAUAAAGCUAAUAAAGGCUCCGCUGGGAAUUCUGCUCUAUUUGCUCAGGAGAGAUUCACAUCUGAUGUGACAAUAAACUCUACAGAACUGGUUAUCAAUGAUGUGAAGAUGGAGGAUUCAGCCACCUAUCUCUGCUCUCUGCAGGCAGCACAGUGUGACACAUCUAACCUCUCAUUUUACACAAACCUCAUACUUGACAAAACCCAUUGUGACUAUAGGAAGAAGUGA